GAAGGCUCUCUGCAGUAAGGGGCUAGGCUUCUCUCUAUUCCAGCCGACGUAUUCCCGUUCAGUACUCUGACAGACAGGUAUAUAGACAACUACAGCUACAGUUAUAUGCAUAGUCAUAUGCACGAAGUUUACGUUGCAGGCUGUCUCAAAUUAUUGGCUUCGUCGUCCUGGUUUGUUUACGCGACUUACUAACUUUAUCAGGAAGCUACCAAGGACAUGGGGCGGAAAGUGACUCUUGCUACCUGCUCGUUGAAUCAGUGGGCUCUGGACUUUGAGGGCAACCUGGAGAGAAUACUGAAGAGUAUUGAGAUUGCUAAAGCUCAUGGAGCCAAAUACAGACUGGGUCCAGAGCUGGAGAUAUGCGGGUAUGGCUGUGCAGACCACUUCUAUGAGUCGGACACAUUGCUCCACAGCUUUCAAGUUCUGAGGAAACUUCUGGAAUCUCCCGUCACCCAAGACAUCAUCUGUGACGUCGGCAUGCCCGUCAUGCAUCAUAAUGUGCGCUACAACUGCCGGAUACUCUUCCUUAACAGAAAGAUACUGCUGAUCAGACCUAAAAUGCAGAUGGCCAACGAUGGGAACCACCGAGAGAUGCGCUGGUUCUCACCAUGGAACCAGUUAAGGCAAGUCGAGGAGUAUUUCCUGCCCAGAAUGAUCCAGGAGGUAACAGGGCAGGACACAGUCCCAUUUGGUGACUGCGUAUUAUCCACAAAGGACACUUGCAUUGGAACAGAGAUGUGCGCAGAGCUAUGGAGAUCCAGAAGCCCCCACAUUCAGAUGGGUCUUGAUGGGGUUGAAAUCUUUACAAAUUCGUCAGCUAGCCACCACGAGCUCCGCAAGGCUGACCAAAGAGUCAACCUGGUCAAGUCAGCCACCACCAAGAGUGGAGGUAUCUACUUGUAUGCCAAUCAGAGGGGUUGUGAUGGAGACCGUGUCUACUAUGAUGGUUGUGCCAUGGUUGCCAUCAACGGUGACAUUGUGGCACAGGGAAAACAGUUCUCCCUUAAUGAUGUGGAGGUCAUUACAGCCACACUAGACCUUGAGGAUGUGCGUAGCUACAGAGGAGAAUAUUGCCAGCCAAACAUGGAGAGUGAACCUAAAACUUGCCACAGGGUCAAAGUUGACUUCUCUUUAUCCAGUGGUGAUGAUAUUUACCUCCCUACCCACCAACCAGUUACAUGGAACUAUCACACUCCAGAGGAAGAGAUCAGUCUAGGGCCAGCCUGCUGGCUAUGGGACUACCUGAGGAGAAGUGGACAGGCUGGUUUUCUGUUACCCCUGAGUGGAGGUGUUGACAGCUCCUCAACCGCCUGUAUUGUCCACUCUAUGUGUGUGCUGCUCUGCCAGGCAAUAGAGGAUGGCAACAGUCAGGUACUCGUUGAUGUCCGUCGAGUGGUAGGGGAUGACUCCUACUGUCCUCGGGACCCAAGGGAGUUAUGUGGUCACAUCUUCACCACCUGCUACAUGGCAAGUGAAAACUCCUCAGAGGACACACGCAGCAGGGCCAAAGGCUUGGCCAGUCAGAUCGGCAGCACGCACAUGAAUAUUAACAUUGACAUGGCAGUGAAAGGCAUUCUGGGCGUCUUCUCAGUGGUUACUGGGAGGUUGCCUCAGUUUCGUGCAAAUGGAGGAAGCCACAGAGAAAACCUGGCUCUGCAGAACGUGCAGGCUCGGGUCAGGAUGGUCCUAGCCUACCUGUUUGCCCAGCUGAGUCUCUGGGCCCGAGGGAAGCCAGGUGGAUUACUGGUGCUUGGCUCAGCCAAUGUAGAUGAGAGUCUGACAGGAUAUUUCACAAAGUAUGACUGCUCCAGUGCUGACAUCAACCCAAUAGGAGGCAUCAGCAAGACAGACCUGAAGAGCUUCCUGCUUUACUGUGUUGAGCAGUUCCAGCUCACCACUCUUAAAGGCAUCGUGGCCGCUCCACCCACAGCUGAACUAGAGCCGCUGACUGAUGGACAGGUGUCGCAAACAGAUGAGGCAGACAUGGGGAUGACCUAUUCUGAGUUAUCUGUGAUUGGACGACUGAGGAAGAUCUCUAAGUGUGGCCCCUACAGUAUGUUCUGUAAACUCAUUCACAUGUGGAAGGAUGCGCUCUCACCCAUGGAGGUGGCCGAGAAGGUGAAACACUUCUUCCGCAUGUACUCAGUGAACCGCCACAAAAUGACCACGGUGACACCGUCCUACCACGCUGAGAGCUACAGCCCUGAUGACAACCGCUUUGACCUCCGGCCUUUCCUCUAUAACACAGGCUGGGUCUGGCAGUUCAGAUGUAUCAACAACCAGGUGUCCCAGAUGGAGGCAAACACCCUGAAGCCAUAAGAACCAGAGGUCUUCAGUGUCCAGUGAAAAGUCAUCAGAAGUUAAACAGAUCAAAUAUUCUUCAGUGAUACUUCACAACUUUCUGUAAUGUAAUGCCAAACACAGGACCAAGCAGGAAGCUUCUAUCCCAAAUAAGACUACGUCUGAGAGGCUGAGAGAGAGCACAUUUAACAUGUUGACAUGAUAACAAUGAAAACGUUCAUGCUCAUCCAGUUUGUUUAGUUGACGACAUGCUAAUAUUAACUUAUUGGCACUGAAUGUCAUUAGUUUUGCAGGUUUUGGUCAUAAAUUAAAAUAUUGGGCAAAUUCAAAUGUAUGACUUGAUAAUGGCAUCAGAAGAAUAAUCAACAAAGUCUUUAGGGUUCAUCCUCUGGGGACCAUGACAUGAUAAUCCAUUGACUCGUCAAUGAGACAUGUCAUUCUGUUCCAAAGUAGUGCACCAGUGUCAUUCUUAGAGCCAUGUCACUGGCUUAAAAAAACUCCAAUUUUAUGAGUAGAAUUGUAUCUUUAUCAGUCAGCAAUGUGAAAGAAAUAGUGUGAUGGUGGCUGUUGACUUUUUGUCCUUAUUUUAGAGUUGCCCUUCUCAACAGCAGCUCAUAUGACUUCCCACUCAGUACUGGUUAUAAUGUUAGGUGCAUGUUUUAUUCCUGAAAGAUUUUUCGCAAGUAGUAAUUGUUCUCACUUAUUUCAGAUGUGACAGAUUGGAUAAAGACAGUGAAAGUGCUCUCAGUCCAGGGACAGGAACAAUGAGGUUACUGGAUAUCACAGAUUUGUGUCUGAAGUUGAUGUUACUGGAGAGACACUCUGCAUGGGAAGGCUUGAGAGACAGAAGAUUUGCUGCAAAUAAAGUCCAGAAGACAUGA